rnacentral:rRNA from 1 species
UACGUAGGGGGCUAGCGUUGUCCGGAAUCAUUGGGCGUAAAGAGCGUGUAGGCGGUCCGGUAAGUCCGCUGUGAAAGUCGGGGGCUCAACCCUCGAAUGCCGGUGGAUACUGUCGGGCUAGAGUGCGGAAGAGGCGAGUGGAAUUCCUGGUGUAGCGGUGAAAUGCGCAGAUAUCAGGAAGAACACCCGUGGCGAAGGCGGUUCUCUGCGACGGUACUGACGCUGAGACGCGAAAGCGUGGGGAGCGAACAGG